AGCGCAGGCGGGAAGGUAAGUCUAUCUUAAAAGUGCGGGGCUCAACCCCGUUAGGGGAUAGAAACUAUCAUUCUUGAGUGCAGGAGAGGAAAGCGGAAUUCCUAGUGUAGCAGUGAAAUGCGUAGAUAUUAGGAGGAACACCAGUGGCGAAGGCGGCUUUCUGGACUGUAACUGACGCUGAGGCUCGAAAGCCAGGGGAGCGAACG
rnacentral:rRNA from 1 species